AGACGGUAUUUCAGGAGGAAGCCCCGGCUAACUACGUGCCAGCAGCCGCGGUAAUACGUAGGGGGCAAGCGUUAUCCGGAUUUACUGGGUGUAAAGGGAGCGUAGACGGAGAAGCAAGUCUGAUGUGAAAGGCAUGGGCUCAACCUGUGGACUGCAUUGGAAACUGUUUUUCUUGAGUGCCGGAGGGGUAAGCGGAAUUCCUAGUGUAGCGGUGAAAUGCGUAGAUAUUAGGAGGAACACCAGUGGCGAAGGCGGUUAGCUGGACAGUAACUGACGCUGAGGCGCGAAAGCGUGGGUAGCAAACAGGAUUAGAUACCCUG
rnacentral:rRNA from 1 species